CAGCUUAUUCCAAUGUGAUUCUGGAUGUCAAAGGCUGAUGGAAACAAGACAAAUUAUCCUCAUGCAGAUGUUCUGAAACUACUCCCCUAGUUGGCUUGCUACAAAGAAGACUAUUUCCAUGCCCUUUUAUGCUGUGAAGUCUGUGUGCACACCAACUUGGCUGAAGGAAUCUGCACUGCUGUGACUCAAGGGAGUCCUGGAACAACUUCCUCUUCACAUCCUUUUUGCACACUGUCUUGAGGGGAAUUCUUGUGGACAACACCCAGACACCAUCCCAUGCUGUGCUGUCCAAAGUAGUUUCAAAAUUGCUUUACUGUGCAGAAGGGAACAAGGACCCUGUCCACAGCCAUUUCCAAAGCUGCUUAUGCUGUGCUAUGUUUUGUCAGAGCUUUUGUGUCCCAGGCGUAAUGGAGGUCCCAGCUCAUCCUUUUACCAAAAAAUGGGUGCUUCAGGCAAGAGAAGUGUUCUCCUGUGUCUUGCCUCAUACUGCCACCACCAGAGCUAUGAGGUAGGGAAGCCAACUGGGGAGUGGUCAAGGUUAUCCAGCAGGUCUGCGAGAGAGCAAGGGAUGGAAUCUACUGUAACCACUAACUGCAGGUUUGCUCUUGAAUCUGUGUUGCUGAAGGCCUCCAUCCUGGCAGAAAGUCAGAUUUCUUUUUUUCACGGCCUGAGUCCUUCUGCAGCUCUAGUAUUGUGUUGUAAAUGGGCAGCCCUGUACAACAGUUUUGCCAGGCUGUAAAUAUAUAGCCUUGAAAGGGAAAGGAGGAUAAACAAAAGAUAAACAAGAAAGAAGAAUGAGGAACGUCAUUCCCAAGGGAGUGUUCCUGACAAUCUGUUAACUUCUUAUUGGCGUAUUCAUAACCACUUCCAAAGAAUGUCACAAACUCAUAGCAAAGUAGCUUGAGCUUCUGUUGAUGAAUUGAAGGAAAUUUGUUCUAAAGAAAAUACAUCACAUGAAGUUAACCCACAGUACUGGAUCAGCCAAAAACAACACCACGGAACAGGAAUUCCUUCAAUUUAACAAUACCGUAAUCUCAUUGCAGGCUGAGCAGUAACAUUACAAACUGCACACACAACACCUUUCUUUUUAGCUGAAAUUUGGCAGUGGUGAGUUUUAACAGCAACACCCCCAAAUUAACCUUAAUCUUCAGCCUGGAUGAUCUUUUUUCUUGAUUAUGUGAGUUUGUGUCCCCGUGUUUUAUUUCCAGACAUAAAUAAUGAGAUAUUCAAAAUAUACUGCAAAACAGUUCAAAGCUAGCACAGUAAAUACUACGUUGCAUGAACUGUGGAGGAAUGCUAAUUUUUCAUUGCUCUCCUCUAUGCUUCAGUCACUCUAGUUCUGUCUCCUGCAAAGCCAUCUCAGUCUGGCUGUACUUCCCUUAAUUACAUUGCGUUCUUUGAAAGGACAGAAGUAACUGCUGUGAAACAUGCUGUCAGAAAUCUAUGCACCAAAUUCCAUUGGUUUUUCUUUUACAUCAUAAUUAAAUGUCACCUGGUCCAAAACUAACUCCUUAUGAAGCUAGAUUAAAAGAGCUCUGUUUGGUGACUUCCUCACACUCAGAAAUUGGUGGUGAUACAAAGCAGAUACAAUACAGAAAAAGCACAGAGCAGCUGCGUGGCAAUCACUAUAGCUUCUGGCCUGCAGUAGCAAUUUGCUUUCUUCUGUGUUCCUCUGGAGAAAUAACCCUGAGUGACGAUCUCUAGCACACACUGAUCUGUCUCCCUGUGCACGUGACAGCAUACAUAGUUGGCCUGCUACAGGAGAAAUUGCUGCAUAUAAACGCAUGCAGUUCCUGCAUGUUGCUACUCUUGAUCUUCUGCACUUCCCUAGCUCUGAGAUGACAGCCAGUGAUGCUGUCAUACACUUGGACUCAGAAUUCAUCUCUCUGACUCAGUGCCUGUGUUGGUAGUGUAGUAACACCAAGCUUUGUAGG
rnacentral:lncRNA from 7 species